UAACAUUUUGUUUUUUUGGCCCGACAGGACCACAAGAUCAAAAACAACUAGUUGAUAACAAUCACGGCCUCCAAGUGUGCCACAUCCCCCAGCCGAUGGCUGGGGGAUGGUGGCACAAGUGGAAGGAGGAGGCACACAUGCACAAGUUGUAAACCCCUUGGUUUGGACUUCCCGGGUGGUCUCCCAGCCCAGUACUACUCAAGCCCAAGGUCGCUUACCAAGUGCAUGCGGCCAGACCGGGUGUCCCGGCCAGCCAUGCCUCCGAGCAUGGCCCCUCGGGGUACAAUAUAAUGUUCGCGGUUUACAGUUUACAGAUGUGUGUCAAUGAUCCUUCCGCAGGUUCACCUACGGAAACCUUGUUAUGACUUCUCCUUCCUCUAAAUGAUAAGGUUUAAUGAACUUCUCACAGCGUCGCCGGCGGUGAACCGUCAGCAUCGCUGCAAUCCGAACACUUCACCGGAUCAUUCAAUCGGUAGGAGCGACGGGCGGUUGUAAGCCACAAAUUUUUCCUUUCCAAUUUGCCAGCUUACCUCGCCUAUCCGACCAACUCCGCCUUGGCUUGUGCUAAGUUCCCUCGCCAAGGUUCUCGCCUAUGGUGCCAGCUCCUACUUGGUUUCAGCUACUUACUGCACGAGCAACGGAGUGUUAGCCAUCCAUCUACGGAUUCCCAAAUCUCUCCCAAUCCCCCUCCCCGGGUUAGACUGGACUUAAGGUUCGGCUACACUCCCCGCAGGCACAAGCAGCCAAGCACACCAAGCCUCCAGAUUCCUAACACCCCAAGGUACCACAAGGCUUGAUCAUGGGACCCUCUAAAUCCCAAGCCUUGGGUGCAGCACUUGCUUCGGGACGUCGGGGUGAAACACCGUGGCCUAACGGCCCGGUAUGGGUACCUCUACCCCCCCACUUCCAUCCCGAAGGAAAGGCCCAAGCCCCCGGAAGGGCGAGGACCAAUGAGCCACAAGGUACUCAAGUGGGGCACCACUCCACCUGAGCCGGGAGCACCGCAAUCGGUUUCCCUUUCGGGAGUGGGAGCUGCUCUUGAGCACUUCCUUGGAUGGCCCCUCCGGCACCAGCCAAGUCCAUGCUCACUCCCACCCAAGGCCCCUCGGUCCCAGUCCCAACCUCAAGUCGGUUUGGAAGCCCAACUGGAGAGUCCCUUCUAAACUGGUUCCUGGACCUCACUAUCCCUACUAUACUUUUGGAACCCCCUGCAGCCCCCCCCCCCUGGGAGACGCACGCUUUGGGCUUUCACCCCUUGACCCGUAUUAGUAUUUGGACUUAGUCUCUAGCUCGAUCUCGGACCCGAUUUCGGAUCCGACUUCGGAUUCGGGUUCGGACUCGAUCACGGACUCGAUCUCGGACCCGACCUCGGACCCGACCUCGGACUCGACCUCGGACUCGGUCUCGGACCCGAUUUUGGAUCUGGACUCCGUCUCGAACUCGGUCUCGAACUCGGACUCGAACUCGGUCCCCGAGUCGGUCUCGGACUCGAUUCCGGACUCUAUCUCGAACUCGGUCCUAGAGUCGGUCUUGGACUCGAUCCUCGACUUGGUCCCAUCCGAUGAACUCUUUGUCAUUUCGGUCAAGCUUUUGGGGAUCCUUUAGCCUAUGACAUCUCGGGGAGUCGGUUCCUUACAACUCCACCACCCAUAGAAGAAGUUCGAUGCCCACAUCGAACGUCUCGUUUUAUCCUACGACUUGUUGUCCAUGUCUCCGGGGGCAUCCCCCCACUUAGCGGUGUGCCUAAGUUAGCCUCCCCGGCCAAGAGCCCAUGACAACGGAAUAUAGGUGUCCCUAUAUUCCUCACUUCACCACGCCCUAGUAUAGGGUCGGGACUUGAACCCAGCCUUGCUUUACUAGGGGGUUGGGACUCGAACCCAACCUCCGUAGAAUACGUCUACGGAUUCGACAUCCCCGCGGGGAGUCGGGCGUAGUGCCCUACGCCUGGUCGACCUAUCCAACCCAUGCUAAUUAGCUUACCUUUGGCGCGCCUUCGGGUCCCAACAUAUGCCAUUUGCUCAACUUUGCAAAUUAAUAUUUUUAAUUGAAUUUUGCAUAAGUACAUAAAGUUCUGCCUUGCAGAAAUUCCUCCACUAGAUCUCGUGCGUUCGCUAGGUUCUCCUCCGGUUCCCAUGUUGCUUCGCAGUGUGGAAAUCCUUUCCACUUCACAUGGAACUCUCUCACCUCGCGUCCUUGUCGCUUGCUCUUGCGCGCAUUGAGGAUGGCCUCGACUUCGUAUUCCUCUUCCCCUUGGAUAACCUCAGGUAAAGGUCUCACUUGGUCCUUGCGAAGCGGAUCCUCAAAGUACGGCUUGAGUAAGUUCACGUGGAACACUGGGUGCAUCUUCCCCAUCUCUCGAGGAAGUCGGAGUCGGUAAGCCACUUUACCGAUUCGUGCCUCAAUUUCAUAAGGCCCCGCGAACCUGCUUAAGGAACUCAAGAUCAAUUCAUUUACAGGAAUACAUGCGUCUUUACCUUUGGGUCAACUUUCGGCUGAUCCA
rnacentral:lncRNA from 1 species